UACGUAGGGGGCAAGCGUUGUCCGGAUUUAUUGGGCGUAAAGAGCUCGUAGGCGGUUUGGUAAGUCUGGUGUGAAAUCUCCACGCUCAACGUGGAGGGGCCACCCGAUACUGCCAUGACUGGAGUCCGGUAGAGGAGUGUGGAAUUCCUGGUGUAGCGGUGAAAUGCGCAGAUAUCAGGAGGAACACCGGUGGCGAAGGCGGGUCUCUGGGCCGAUACUGACGCUGAGGAGCGAAAGCGUGGGGAGCGAACAGG
rnacentral:rRNA from 1 species